GCAGGCCAGGACGCGGCCCUGCGGGCGGCCUUGGAGGGCGACCUCCAGCGUCUCAGAGGUACUGUAAAGAGUCUUGUCGACCCAAGGGUGGUCUUCUCUUUCGAAAUGGGUGACCUUGGUGUGCUGCACCUCGCAGCCGGCAGAGGGCAUCUUGAAGUUUGCAAGUACUUGGUGGAGGAACUGGGGGGAGACGUGAAUGCUCCUGCUCCUGGAGUUGGAGACUUUGCAGGUGUGACACCCUUUAUGACAUCUGCUCAGUCCGGCGAUGUUUUGACCGUGAAGUAUUUGCUUGAUUGUGGUGGUGAUGUAACUAAAGCAGAUAGUAAAGGACGCACAGUUCUCCACCAUGCGGCAUGCAAAGGAAGCUGUAAGGUUACUGAGUUUCUACUUUCAAAAGGAGUACCUGUUGACAUAGACUGUGGCCGUGGUACACCACUCCAUCAAGCUGCUACCAAUGAAAAGGAUAAAACAGUGAAGAUUUUGUUGGAACACCAUGCAGAUCCUAAUACCACUGUAACCGGUUUGGGUACUGCCCUGAUGGGUGCUCUUUUGUACCGUUCAUUGAAAUGCAUGAAGCUGCUGAUUAAGGGUGGUGCUGAUGUCAAUCGAAGGAACUCCCUUCUGGUUACUCCGUUGGUGUUCGCUACAGGGCACAAAGGCUAUACCAACUUUGUGCAGUUUCUGUUAAAGGCAGGAGCGGAUCCUAAUAUUCCCGAUGCUUAUGGUAGGUUACCAGUAGAGCAUGCUGCGAGACAUGACUGCAGGGAAGAAGUUGAAAUGCUGUUUCCUUUGACUUCCCCAAUUCCAACUAUCCCAAACUGGAGUAUAGAUGGAAUCAUCUCGCAUGCAAAAUCUGAAAGUGCAAAGCCACUGGUCCAAAGCCACCUUGAACGAACAAAAGCUAUAAUGAAGUCACAGGCAGAUCAUGCAUUCAGGCUGAAGGACUAUAAGUUAGCAUCAAAAGCAUAUGGUGUGGCAAUAGGUGCUGCACCGAGUGCAACAUUGUACGCGAACAGGAGUCUUUGUAAACUGCUGUUGGGUGAUGGUGAAGGUGCUCUGUCAGAUGCUCUCAGAUGCAGAAUGCUGCGACCUAACUGGGCAAAAGCUUGCUACCGUCAGGCUGCAGCUCACAUGCUACUAAAAGAGUAUAAACAAGCUUGUGAUGCUCUCCUGGACGCUAAAAAAUUAGAUCCUGGAAACACAGAGGUUGAGAGAGAGCUACGGAAGGCCAGGGAAUUAAUGAAAGCUCCUGGUGAAGCUGACAAGUGA
rnacentral:rRNA from 1 species